UACGGAGGGGGCAAGCGUUGUCCGGAUUUAUUGGGCGUAAAGAGCGUGUAGGCGGCCAGGUAGGUCCGCUGUGAAAACUCGAGGCUCAACCUCGAGAUGUCGGCGGAAACCAUCUGGCUAGAGUCCGGAAGAGGAGAGUGGAAUUCCUGGUGUAGCGGUGAAAUGCGCAGAUAUCAGGAAGAACACCCGUGGCGAAGGCGGCUCUCUGGGACGGUACUGACGCUGAGACGCGAAAGCGUGGGGAGCGAACAGG
rnacentral:rRNA from 1 species